GACGAACGCUGGCGGCGUGCUUAACAUAUGCAAGUCGAACGGAAAGGCCUCUUUCGGGGGGUACUCGAGUGGCGAACGGGUGAGUAACACGUGAGUAACCUGCCCUUGACUUUGGGAUAACUUCAGGAAACUGGGGCUAAUACCGGAUAGGAGCUCCUGCUGCAUGGUGGGGGUUGGAAAGUUUCGGCGGUUGGGGAUGGACUCGCGGCUUAUCAGCUUGUUGGUGGGGUAGUGGCUUACCAAGGCUUUGACGGGUAGCCGGCCUGAGAGGGUGACCGGCCACAUUGGGACUGAGAUACGGCCCAGACUCCUACGGGAGGCAGCAGUGGGGAAUAUUGCACAAUGGGUGGAAGCCUGAUGCAGCAACGCCGUGUGCGGGAUGACGGCCUUCGGGUUGUAAACCGCUUUCGCUCAUGACGAAGCUUUGUGUGACGGUAGUGGGUAAAGAAGCACCGGCUAACUACGU
rnacentral:rRNA from 1 species